GAUGAACGCUGGCGGCGUGCCUAAUACAUGCAAGUCGAGCGAACCACUUCGGUGGUGAGCGGCGAACGGGUGAGUAACACGUAGGUGAUCUGCCCAUCAGACGGGGACAACGAUUGGAAACGAUCGCUAAUACCGGAUAGGACGAAAGUUUAAAGGUGCUUCUGGCACCGCUGAUGGAUGAGCCUGCGGCGCAUAAGCUAGUUGGUAGGGUAAAGGCCUACCAAGGCGACGAUGCGUAGCCGACCUGAGAGGGUGAACGGCCACACUGGGACUGAGACACGGCCCAGACUCCUACGGGAGGCAGAAGUAGGGAAUCUUCGGCAAUGGGCGAAAGCCUGACCGAGCAACGCCGCGUGAAUGAUGAAGGCCUUCGGGUUGUAAAAUUCUGUUAUAAGGGAAGAACGACUUUAGUAGGAAAUGGCUAGAGUGUGACGGUACCUUAUGAGAAAGCCACGGCUAACUACGUGCCAGCAGCCGCCGUAAAAC
rnacentral:rRNA from 1 species